rnacentral:rRNA from 1 species
AGGUUAAGCAGUAAAUGUGGAGCCGUAGCGAAAGCGAGUCUGAAUAGGGCGUUUAGUAUUUGGUCGUAGACCCGAAACCAGGUGAUCUACCCUUGGUCAGGUUGAAGUUCAGGUAACACUGAAUGGAGGACCGAACCGACUUACGUUGAAAAGUGAGCGGAUGAACUGAGGGUAGCGGAGAAAUUCCAAUCGAACCUGGAGAUAGCUGGUUCUCUCCGAAAUAGCUUUAGGGCUAGCCUCAAGUGAUGAUUAUUGGAGGUAGAGCACUGUUUGGACGAGGGGCCCCUCUCGGGUUACCGAAUUCAGACAAACUCCGAAUGCCAAUUAAUUUAACUUGGGAGUCAGAACAUGGGUGAUAAGGUCCGUGUUCGAAAGGGAAACAGCCCAGACCACCAGCUAAGGUCCCAAAAUAUAUGUUAAGUGGAAAAGGAUGUGGCGUUGCCCAGACAACUAGGAUGUUGGCUUAGAAGCAGCCAUCAUUUAAAGAGUGCGUAAUAGCUCACUAGUCGAGUGACACUGCGCCGAAAAUG